CGGCAGUAGUAAGAUGGAGUACACUUUUAAAUGGAGCAGGGAGCAGACAGAGGAGUUGAUCAAACUCCGUGGGCAAAAUGACCACCUUUUUACCGGCGCCAAAAAUACUGCAGCAGUUGGUUGGAGAACAAUCCUGCAGAAAAUGGGCCUGGAGGGAAAAGUUGAGCCACAACAGGCC